AAGGUGUUAGUUUAAAAUAAACAUUAGAAUGUCAGACUAAAAUUACUAAUUCAUAGUACUCCUUA
rnacentral:tRNA from 1 species